rnacentral:sRNA from 1 species
GGUUUUCAAGGCGGGCUGUAACUGGUGGCAUUUGUCCCGGGACCAGGCUGGAGUGCCAUGGUGCGAUCUCGGCUCAUCACAACCUCCACCUCCUGGGUUCAAGCGAUCCUCCUUCCUCAGCUUCCUAAGUAGCUAGGAUUACAGGCAGGUUCUAAGUUUGACUUAAAAGAGGUGACAUCCUUGAUGCCAAGAGACCCAAGAAGAAGUUGGAAUGCAUUUCAGGUCCACAGUUUUAUAUGUGAGCAAGAUGGAGGCUGACCCAUCUGGCUUUAACAUCGAUGCCCCCCGUUGGGACCAGCGCACCUUCCUGGGGAGAGUGAAGCACUUCCUAAACAUCACGGACCCCCGCACUGUCUUUGUAUCUGAGCGAGAGCUGGACUGGGCCAAGGUGAUGGUGGAGAAGAGCAGGAUGGGGGUUGUGCCCCCAGGCACCCAAGUGGAGCAGCUGCUGUAUGCCAAGAAGCUAUAUGACUCGGCCUUCCACCCCGACACUGGGGAGAAGAUGAAUGUCAUCGGGCGCAUGUCUUUCCAGCUCCCUGGCGGCAUGAUCCUCACGGGCUUCAUGCUCCAGUUCUACAGCUAUUGAGCUGGGCUUUGGGCUGGGUGU